UUUCCGGUUGAUCCAGCCAGAGGCCAUUGCUAUCGGGGUCCGACUUAGCCAUGCUAGUUGUACGAGCUCAAACUCGUAGCAAAUAGCUCCGUAACACGUGGCCAAACCACCCUACAGAGGACCAUAACCUCGGGAAACUGAGGCUAAUAGCCCAUACCCGUCCCACGCUGGAAUGCCGGGGCGCGCAAACGCUUUUCGCGCUGUAGGACGUGGCUGCGGCCGAUUAGGUAGACGGUGGGGUAACGGCCCACCGUGCCGAUAAUCGGUACGGGUUGUGAGAGCAAGAACCCGGAGACGGAAUCUGAGACAAGAUUCCGGGCCCUACGGGGCGCAGCAGGCGCGAAACCUUUACACUGCACGACAGUGCGAUAAGGGGACUCCGAGUGCGAGGGCAUACAGUCCUCGCUUUUCUGUACCGUAGGGUGGUACAGGAACAAGUGCUGGGCAAGACCGGUGCCAGCCGCCGCGGUAAUACCGGCAGCACGAGUGAUGGCCGAUAUUAUUGGGCCUAAAGCGUCCGUAGCUGGCCGGACAAGUCCGUUGGGAAAUCGACGCGCCCAACGCGUCGGCGUCCAGCGGAAACUGUCCGGCUUGGGGCCGGAAGACCCGAGGGGUACGUCCGGGGUAGGAGUGAAAUCCCGUAAUCCUGACGGACCGCCGGUGGCGAAGCGCCUCAGGGGGACGGACCCGACAGUGAGGGACGAAAGCCAGGGUCUCGAACCGGAUUAGAUACCCGGGUAGUCCUGGCCGUAAACGAUGCCCGCUAGGUGUGGCGCAGGCUACGAGCCUGCGCUGUGCCGUAGGGAAGCCGUGAAGCGGGCCGCCUGGGAAGUACGUCCGCAAGGAUGAAACUUAAAGGAAUUGGCGGGGGAGCACUACAACCGGAGGAGCCUGCGGUUUAAUUGGAGUCAACGCCGGAA
rnacentral:rRNA from 1 species